rnacentral:rRNA from 1 species
UGAGUACGAGAUGCUACGGCAUCGAAGCAGUCUAUGUCAUACUUCCAAGAAAAGCUUGCACUGUCAUAAACAAAGAAUGCCUGUACCAUAACCGACACAGGUGGGUAGGUAGAGUAUACCAAGGGGCGCGAGAUAACUCUCUCUAAGGAACUCGGCAAAAUGACUCCGUAACUUCGGGAGAAGGAGUGCCUUAUUUAUAAGGUUGCAAUUACAAGAUCCAAGCAACUGUUUAUCAAAAACACAGGUCUCCGCUAAGUCGUAAGACGAUGUAUGGGGGCUGACGCCUGCCCAGUGCCAGAAGGUUAAAGAAGUUGGUUAGUGUAUGCGAAGCUGAUGACUGAAGCCCUGGUGAACGGCGGCCGUAACAAUAACGGUCCUAAGGUAGCGAAAUUCCUUGUCGGGUAAGUUCCGACCCGCACGAAAGGCGUAAUGAUUUGGAUACUGUCUCGGAGAGAGGCUCGGUGAAAUAGACUUGUCUGUGAAGAUGCGGACUACCUGCACCAGGACAGAAAGACCCUAUGAAGCUUUACUGUAACUUGAAAUUGGAAUUGGACUUUGCUUGCGCAGUAUAGGUGGGAAGCGUUGAAGAUAUUCUUGCGGGAGUAUUGGAGCUAUCAGUGAGAUACCACUCUUGUAAUGUUAGAUUUCUAACUUUGAACCAUAAUCUGGUCAAAGAACAGUUUCAGGUGGGCAGUUUGACUGGGGCGGUCGCCUCCCAAAUGGUAACGGAGGCGUACAAAGGUUUCCUCUGAACGGAUAGAAAUCGUAUCUAGAGUGUAAAGGCAUAAGGAAGCUUGACUGUGAGACCUACAAGUCGAGCAGGGACGAAAGUCGGUCUUAGUGAUCUGACGGUACUGAGUGGAAAGGCCGUCACUCAACGGAUAAAAGUUACUCUAGGGAUAACAGGCUGAUCUCCCCCAAGAGUUCACAUCGACGGGGAGGUUUGGCACCUCGAUGUCGGCUCAUCGCAUCCUGGGGCGGUAGUACGUCCCAAGGGUUGGGCUGUUCGCCCAUGAAAGCGGUACGCGAGCUGGGUUCAGAACGUCGUGAGACAGUUCGGUCCAUAUCCGGUGUAGGCGUUAGAAUAUUGAGAGGAGCCUUCUUAGUACGAGAGGACCGAGAAGGACACACCGCUGGUGUACCAGUUAUCGUGCCAACGGUAAACGCUGGGUAGCUAUGUGUGGAGUGGAUAACCGCUGAAAGCAUCUAAGUGGGAAGCCCACCUCAAGAUGAGUAUUC